CAAGGCUGAAAACCACAGUAAGGAAUGAAAAGAAGACUGUUUCCACAUAGCAGAAAGAAGAAAAGAAGAGACUCAGAAGGUGGGCAGGCUUGGGUGGUUCUAAUGCACCUGAAUUGAUUUUCUCCUUUGGCUUGCUUCAGGCCAAAACAAUGUGAACUGAGCUAAAGAUGACCACAACCCCAACUUUCUACGACAGACAAAUGGACAGUGAACACUUUGGAGGACUUGGCUUCUGUUGCUGUCUGGAUAAAUAAAUGAUUCCUCCACUGAAAUGAUCUGGGAAGCCUGCAUGUGUCAGAUAUCCAUGUGCAUCUGGAUCUUUUGGAUUGGUCCAUUUAUCUUCUACAAGACAUUCUGCCUGCAGUAAUGCAGCACAAAGAGAACACAUUAUAUUUUCUGUGUGUUUUGACCAGGCUCACAAGAAGCAUUUCCUCUUGGAUCGCUUCAGUGGUUAUUUAAUAAAGCUACCCCACCCCAGGAAUUGGCUUGACGGACGCUUAAUUCGAUAUAAUUUUCUCAUAUAUAUAUAUUGUUAAAGUUAAUGGUUUGCUACAGGAAGAUGAACAACAAACAGAAAAUUCCACUGGCUGUUGUAUAUGAUACCUGACUCACACAAGGAGGAAAAUCCACAGUAAUGUACUGAAUCAUCAUUGCUAACAGAAGCAUAGCUCUUUUACAGCAGCAGUGAGAUUGGUUUCAACUGGAGAAACGCAGCGGGCGGUUCGCAGAGUGAUCCUCGAGCAUGCUGGGGAAAUGAUCCCUGGUGUACGGCCAACUGCAGUUUGUAACAUCAGAAGUACUGCCUCUUAGAGCAUCUGCAGCACGAGUUACAAACAGAUUACAAGAAGUGUGUACGCUCCAAGCUGCUGUUACAUGAACCAUAUCUUCUGUAUAGCCCAGAGCAGAAGAAUUAAAUUGUGCAAUUCUAAUUAGAAACAGAAUUAAUGCUGUCUACUGAGGAUGGAAGGAAGUGAAAUAAGCUAGUUAACGACAAGCAGGCACUUUGGGGUUUUAUAGGCUUUACCUACACACUGGAGUUGCACCGAUCCGAGGGUGCUUCGUUGGGGUAACCCCUGAGAUAUUUCAAGCCGAGUCAUGACAUGAACACUAUCGACUGGGUUUGUUAGGAGUGACAUGGUCAAAUAAUACUGUUGCAUAACAUUCUUUGUAGUCUGCACUGUGUGUCUGCAAUGUAUCCUGGUCACAAAAUGAUGACUGGUAUGAUUAAGAGGUGGCCCUACUGAUUGUUUAUCUCAUUAUGAUGAUUUAUAUAGUAUUUUUAUAUACAUUCAUAACAAUGACAUAAUGUCGUGAAUGCAUGAAUAUGCAAUGACAACGAGAUGCAACUAAAAUAAUGGAUCCAUAAAAAUAACAUUUUAUUGUGGAAGAGGAUGUGGACCCCUCUCUCUCUAAGGAAGGGGAAAGGGGAAAGGAUUUCUGCAGGGAAGCCAAACUCUCCAUUUCUUAACCUUAUCAGGAGGAGCUGAAUGAGUUAUUUGUCAUUGUGAAAGAUUCUUAAUGCCUCCUUUAUCUGCAUAUGAAUAUUCCCUAUAUAUUAUUAGGCUCACAAAUGCUCCUACUAAAUUAUUGAGUAAAAUACAAUAUAUAAAAAACAAUGACCCUUUUUUAGGAGUACAGACUUUAAACAUGUAUAUGCAUCUGUGCAAAUAACUUUCUAUUUAUUCAGUGAUCUUAAAUGAGUUUUUGCAGCAAACAUGCAGACUUUUAAAAAUAUUUAUUGCCUCAUGGGUGUGUGUGUGAUAAUAAUGGGAUCAGAACAGACAUGGAGGGGAAAUUUAACCCUUUCUUCCUUUGCUGCUGUGUGAAGAAAAGCUUUACUCUUGGAGCUAAAUUUAGCUUGGGGCAGGGGGCGGAAUUGCAUAUUGGCACCAAAAGAUAUUUCCCUUGGGCUGCAAAUUGCAGCUUCAGAGAGAGGCAUCUUUUGUCCAAACUUUAGCAUGGAGAGAUGGAAUUAAACUUUCCCUCUCUAACUGAAUAGUCCCGAGGCUGUUUGGGCUUCCCCACACCUGCUUCUUGCAUAACCAAAGAACUGCAUGCUAUUUGUAUUUAGGCAAUUCUCAUCAAGCCUAGGUUGACCUUUAGUUAUUUGAAGGAUCGCUGUAUACUGAGGAAAAUGUAUCAUUUUCAUGCUCAGAAUUUUACUUUUAUUUUCUGUUGGAAUGCUAGGGUGUCCGGUCUAUGUUUUAUAUUUCACCAGGGUCUGGAAUAAUUUCAGGCCAGGCCUUCCACAAAGCUCUAGAGACCAGGCCCUGAGGCAGCGGAAGACCAUUUUCUGGUGGGCUUUAGUCAUGCCUGGUGUUUAUUUGAGUUUGUUCUAAAGUCACCAUACUUUGUGCACAGAAUACAUCUUAUAACUAUUACUUCACAUUCUCUGGAGCAAGAGCUUGCUGAAGAUAUUUUCCAGCCUGAGGAGGAUUAACAAAUGGUGCCCCCCUCCCAAAGUUAAGAUGCACAGUACCAGAGGCAGCCAAGCUACUUCAGCACCUGAGGCAGUAGAUCCCACAAGUUACCCCUCUCCCAUCAUGACAGUAAAAUACAAAUA